rnacentral:rRNA from 1 species
UACGGGGGUGCGAGCGUUGUCCGGAUUCACUGGGCGUAAAGGGCGCGUAGGCGGCCGGGUCAGUCGGGCCUGUAAGUGCGGGGCUCAACCCCGUGAUGGCUCGGGACGGCACGGCUGGGCGCGGCAGAGGGAGACGGAAUGCCGGGUGUAGUGGUGAAUGCGUAGAGAUGUGGAGACGACGAGCGAAGGCAGCCUCCGUGGGCCAGCACUGACGCUCCAUGCACGAAAGCGUGGGGAGCAAACAGG